rnacentral:rRNA from 1 species
AUGUGGGAAGGCCCAGACAGCCAGGAUGUUGGCUUAGAAGCAGCCAUCAUUUAAAGAAAGCGUAAUAGCUCACUGGUCGAGUCGGCCUGCGCGGAAGAUGUAACGGGGCUAAACCAUGCACCGAAGCUGCGGCAGCGAACGUAUCACUUAAAGCGAUUCAGCGGGUUACGAUUGACGGAGCGAAGCGACGUCAAAGCGUAUACAAAGUCGAGUCGGUUUAAGGAUACGUUCGUUGGGUAGGGGAGCGUUCUGUAAGCCUGCGAAGGUGGCCUGUGAGGGUUGCUGGAGGUAUCAGAAGUGCGAAUGCUGACAUAAGUAACGAUAAAGCGGGUGAAAAGCCCGCUCGCCGGAAGACCAAGGGUUCCUGUCCAACGUUAAUCGGGGCAGGGUGAGUCGACCCCUAAGGCGAGGCCGAAAGGCGUAGUCGAUGGGAAACGGGUUAAUAUUCCCGUACUUGGUGUUACUGCGAAGGGGGGACGGAGAAGGCUAUGUUGGCCGGGCGACGGUUGUCCCGGUUUAAGCGUGUAGGCUGGUUUUCCAGGCAAAUCCGGAAAAUCAAGGCUGAGGCGUGACGACGAGGCACUACGGUGCUGAAGCAACAAAUGCCCUGCUUCCAGGAAAAGCCUCUAAGCAUCAGGUAACACGAAAUCGUACCCCAAACCGACACAGGUGGUCAGGUAGAGAAUACCAAGGCGCUUGAGAGAACUCGGGUGAAGGAACUAGGCAAAAUGGUGCCGUAACUUCGGGAGAAGGCACGCUGACACGUAGGUGAAGUGAUUUACUCAUGGAGCUGAAGUCAGUCGAAGAUACCAGCUGGCUGCAACUGUUUAUUAAAAACACAGCACUGUGCAAACACGAAAGUGGACGUAUACGGUGUGACGCCUGCCCGGUGCCGGAAGGUUAAUUGAUGGGGUCAGCGCAAGCGAAGCUCCUGAUCGAAGCCCCGGUAAACGGCGGCCGUAACUAUAACGGUCCUAAGGUAGCGAAAUUCCUUGUCGGGUAAGUUCCGACCUGCACGAAUGGCGUAAUGAUGGCCAGGCUGUCUCCACCCGAGACUCAGUGAAAUUGAACUCGCUGUGAAGAUGCAGUGUACCCGCGGCAAGACGGAAAGACCCCGUGAACCUUUACUAUAGCUUGACACUGAACAUUGAGCCUUGAUGUGUAG